UUGCCCUAGUACGGCGAGUGAAGCGGCAACAGCUCAAAUUUGAAGCUAGCCUUCGGGUUCGCAUUGUAAUUUGUAGAGGAUGAUUUGGGGAAGCCGCCUGUCUAAGUUCCUUGGAACAGGACGUCAUAGAGGGUGAGAAUCCCGUAUGUGACAGGAAAUGGCACCCUAUGUAAAUCUCCUUCGACGAGUCGAGUUGUUGGGAAUGCAGCUCUAAAUGGGAGGUAAAUUUCUUCUAAAGCUAAAUAUUGGCGAGAGACCGAUAGCGCACAAGUAGAGUGAUCGAAAGAUGAAAAGCACUUUGGAAAGAGAGUUAAAAAGCACGUGAAAUUGUUGAAAGGGAAGCGCUUGCAAUCAGACUUGUUUAAACUGUUCGGCCGGUCUUCUGACCGGUUUACUCAGUUUGGACAGGCCAGCAUCAGUUUCGGCGGCCGGAUAAAGGCUCUGGGAAUGUGGCCUCC
rnacentral:rRNA from 1 species